rnacentral:miRNA from 1 species
UCCAGAAGCCAGAACAGCAAGAGGGAUUGCUGCUUUCACUAUACAUCGAUCCCUCUUGCUGUUCUGGCUUCUGAG